rnacentral:rRNA from 1 species
UACGUAGGGUGCGAGCGUUAAUCGGAAUUACUGGGCGUAAAGCGUGCGCAGGCGGUUUUGUAAGCCAGAUGUGAAAUCCCCGGGCUUAACCUGGGAAUGGCAUUUGGGACUGCAAGGCUCGAGUGCGGCAGAGGAGACUGGAAUUCCUGGUGUAGCAGUGAAAUGCGCAGAUAUCAGGAGGAACACCGGUGGCGAAGGCGGGUCUCUGGGCCGUAACUGACGCUGAGGAGCGAAAGCGUGGGGAGCGAACAGG